AGGUUUAUUACCUAAAGACAAACAGUUACAAUUAAAAGAUUAUUUCAUUAAACAAAUCAGACAAUAUAUGGAUGGUAAAAUACCUACUGCAACAGUUGUUAAAAGUACAAGUGCUUCUAGUAACACUGUUAAACCAGUAGCAUCUGGUUGGAAACGUAAUAAUUACGGCACUUAUUAUAAAUCAGAAAAUGCAACUUAUAGCAAUGGUAACACACCAAUUAUCACACGUACAGUAGGACCAUUUAGAAGCUGUCC
rnacentral:ncRNA from 15 species